GAGGUUGGACAGAAGCCGAUGGUGUAAAGUCGCUUCACAUUAGUUUCUUGGAUCUUUCUUCGAUUUCUGAAGCUACCUUAUUGAUGAGUGCUCGGUUGCAACAUGAAGAGGAUAUAUUAGGUCGGAUGACAGAUAACAUCCACAACAGUAUGAUCCAAUAGUGAUUUGCCUGAAAGAAGAUGAAUCUUUCUUUCCCUUGCCUAUGCCAC
rnacentral:lncRNA from 1 species